rnacentral:rRNA from 1 species
AGGGUGCGCAGGCGGACAUUCAAGUCUGCGGUCAAAUUCCGGGGCUCAACCCCGGCCAGCCGUGGAAACUGAAUGACUUGAGUGGGCGAGAGGUAUGCGGAAUGCGCGGUGUAGCGGUGAAAUGCUUAGAGAUCGCGCAGAACUCCGAUUGCGAAGGCAGCAUACCGGCGCCUUACUGACGCUCAGGCACGAAAGCGUGGGGAUCGAACAGGAUUAGAUACCCUGGUAGUCCACGCAGUAAACGAUGAAUGCUGGUUGUUCGGGCCGACUGAGGCCUGAGUAACGUAGUGAAAACGUUAAGCAUUCCACCUGGGGAGUACGCCGGCAACGGUGAAACUCAAAGGAAUUGACGGGGGCCCGCACAAGCGGAGGAACAUGUGGUUUAAUUCGAUGAUACGCGAGGAACCUUACCCGGGCUCAAACGGGAGCGGACGUGCGGAGAAAUCCGCAUUUCUUCGGACCGCUUCCGAGGUGCUGCAUGGUUGUCGUCAGCUCGUGCCGUGAGGUGUCGGCUUAAGUGCCAUAACGAGCGCAACCCCUGCGGACAGUUGCCAUCAGGUAGAGCUGGGCACUCUGUCCGGACUGCCGGCGCAAGCCGUGAGGAAGGCGGGGAUGACGUCAAAUCAGCACGGCCCUUACGUCCGGGGCGACACACGUGUUACAAUGGGCGGCACAGCGGGAAGCCAGGUGGUGACACCGAGCAGAACCCGAAAGCCGUUCUCAGUUCGGAUCGGAGUCUGCAACCCGACUCCGUGAAGCUGGAUUCGCUAGUAAUC